AGCAAUGUGGCAUAGUGGUAAGGCGCAGGGCUUGUAACUAAAAGGUUGCUGGUUCAAUUCCUUGCCAGAGCGC